GCGUUUUGAUGAGAAAAGCCUCCAAAUUGCUAGAAAAUAUAAAAAGUAACAAGGUUUCCCAAAGUGUGUCGGAAUUUAUAGAGGACAAGUCCAAAAUGGCCGAGCCCAAGGUAUAGGACAACAUAAAUUUAACUCAAUGCAUCCCAUAAUACGCUUUUGUUCAUACAACUUAAAGCUCCAUAUAUGACUCCAAGACACUCAAUCCUUAUAUACAUUCCCUGCAAAAAUCACAAAGAUCACUUCAGUUAGUCCCUAAUACAAGUUACACUCAAAGGGGUUAUAAAAAGAAUGACUUACAAUACAAUUUCUCUUGAUCAUAAUUCAUCCAUGUAGAUAUUACUCACAAUAUAACACAAAUACUUAAAAUGCCAGCACUUUGAUAAACUCAAUCUCCGAAAACAAAUAUAUGUAACUAGUCUAAUGGCAUAGAAAGCCGUUGAAAUUUUCUCAAAUUGCUGGGAUCCCCACAAACUUAAACACAACCCUUGUUAUAGCUCUCCUCUAUAGCACAAGCUAAUGAGGCUUAGAUUCAACCAAAUGUAAGCAUAUACCAUAAUAAAAUCUUACCACACUAAGAAAAGGGCCUUAAAUGAACCACGUGUGGGAAAUAAUAGGUGAGAGCAAUAUGGGAGAUAGAGAGUGUAGAACAAGGGGUAUAUGCAAGCCAAUGUAGGUGUGGGUACUACAAACAUCAUGACAUGAUGGUGGCUUAAGGGUACUUUAAUAAAACUCAUAUAGAACUCAAAUGCUCACUGCUAUACUCAAAGAACUCAUAACAUUCAGGAAGAAAACACUUACAAGAAGUUAUAGAUAAUGUGUACAACUACUUCAAAGUGCUAGGCAUGCAACACCACAUAUCCUAACUUUAAAACAUGAAAGAGAACUCAAGAAAAUAAAUCAUAUAAGGAACUAAACCUCAGUAAAAGAGAACUCAAGAAAAUAGAUCAUCCCAAUAAGUUUGAUGUAGGACUUCAUUUGUUUUUUUCACCAUGUAAGCUUAUAGCUCACGUGCAAAUAGAAGACUUCUGAUGGAAAGUGUUCUUUCAUAUUUAACUGAACCUUUCAUAAAGUCAGGAACUUUGAUUUCCUUUUGAAGGAUAUAAUUAUACUUACUUUUAGGCCGUAUGAGCUGUCUCUUGAGAGGUUGUGAGACAAAAGAAUAAUGGUGUAAGGAGUUUUAGAUGCGGGUAGUCCAUCUUUGAGGUCUUCACUAAAGGAAAG
rnacentral:lncRNA from 1 species